rnacentral:rRNA from 1 species
AUUGAACGCUGGCGGCAUGCCUUACACAUGCAAGUCGAACGGCAGCACGGGGGCAACCCUGGUGGCGAGUGGCGGACGGGUGAGUAAAGCAUCGGAACGUAUCCUGGAGUGGGGGGAUAACGUAGCGAAAGUUACGCUAAUACCGCAUAUUCUGUGAGCAGGAAAGCAGGGGAUCGCAAGACCUUGCGCUCUGGGAGCGGCCGAUGUCGGAUUAGCUAGUUGGUGGGGUAAAAGGCCUACCAAGGCGACGAUCCGUAGCGGGUCUGAGAGGAUGAUCCGCCACACUGGGACUGAGACACGGCCCAGACUCCUACGGGAGGCAGCAGUGGGGAAUUUUGGACAAUGGGCGGAAGCCUGAUCCAGCCAUGCCGCGUGAGUGAAGAAGGCCUUCGGGUUGUAAAGGCUCUUUCGGCGGGGAAGGAAAGUUAGCACGGGUUAAUACCCUGUGUAGAUGACGGUACCCGAACUAAGAAGCACGGCUAACUACGUGCCAGCAGCCG